rnacentral:rRNA from 1 species
UACGUAGGGCGCAAGCGUUGUCCGGAAUUAUUGGGCGUAAAGAGCUCGUAGGCGGUCCGAUAAGUCGGCUGUGAAAGUCCAGGGCUCAACCCUGGAAAGCCGGCCGAUACUGUCGGGCUAGAGUACGGAAGAGGCGAGUGGAAUUCCUGGUGUAGCGGUGAAAUGCGCAGAUAUCAGGAGGAACACCAAUUGCGAAGGCAGCUCGCUGGGACGUUACUGACGCUGAGACGCGAAAGCGUGGGGAGCAAACAGG